UCCCGUGUAGCUCAGUUGGUAGAGCAUGGCAUUUGCAAAUGCCAGGGUUGUGGGUUCGAUUCCCGCGGGGAA
rnacentral:tRNA from 1 species